GACGAACCACACGAACGUUAUUCGGAAUUACUGGGCUUAAAGGGUGCGUAGGCGGUGCGGAAAGUUAGGUGUGAAAUCCCCCGGCUCAACCGGGGAAUUGCGCUUAAAACUACCGUGCUAGAGGAAGACAGAGGUGAGCGGAACUUCGGGUGGAGCGGUGAAAUGCGUUGAUAUCCGAAGGAACACCGGUGGCGAAGGCGGCAUCCUGGACCGACACUGACGCUGAGGAGCGAAAGCCAGGGGAGCAAACGGG
rnacentral:rRNA from 1 species